AUUUUAAUGCGAAAAAAAAGCGGAGAACAAAACGGGCGAAGGGGAAAAGGGCGAAGGAAAACUAAAGCUUUAUUUUUCCUUCGCACUUUUUCCCCUUCGCCGUUUUCCCCUUCGCCCUUUUUUUCUCCCCUUUUUUCUCCGCUUUUUUUUC